rnacentral:ribozyme from 1 species
UGCCCAGCAACUCCUAUCCCUAUUUCCUCGUGGUACUGGCCGGGGUACGAGCAACCUUAGGGAAGAUCGGCUAACCAAUUCCUUUCGGGACUUUGGUUGUAUUCUGACAGGUAAGG